AUGGUGGUGGCGUCGGCGGCGCGAGGACUCGGACCCCGAGGCGGAGUUGCUUCUGCAGCGUCCCGAGCGGGCCCGGCUGAGCGAGAACACGCGCCUGGCCACCCGCUACGCGGUGCGCAUCUUCCGCGAGUACCUGAGCGAGAAGGCGCAGAGCCCGGACUUCGAGACCAUGGACAAGGGGGCGCUGUGCCGGGUGCUGCGCUCCUUUUACGCCGAGGCGCGCUCCAAGAGCGGGCAGCUCUACUCCAAGUCCUCGCUCAUCAGCAUCCGCAGCUCGCUCAACCGCUACCUCAACGAGCCGCCUUACUGCCGCACCCUCGACCUCACCAAGGACCCGGAGCUGCGCGCCGCCAACCUGACGCUGGCCGCCGUCAUCCGCAAGCUGGAGGAGCAAGGCGCCGGCCCGGUGGUGCAGAAGCAGGCCAUCACGCGGGCCGACCUGCGCAAGCUGUACACCUGCAGCGUGUUCAGCACGCAGAGCCCCUUCGGGCUGCUCAACAAAGUCUGGUUCGAGACGUGCAUGUACUUCUGCACGCGGGGCCGGGAGAACCAGCGCGAGCUGGAGGAGGACUCCUUCGGACUGGCCAUGGACGAGGACGGGCGCAAGUUCGUCUACUUCAAGGCCCUGGGGCCCUACCACAAGUCGCGCUCCUCCUCGUGGAGCAAAAAGCGCGCCGAGAGCAGCGACGAGGAGAACCUGCCGCGCAUGUACGAGACCGGCACGGAGUUCUGCCCUUACGCCAGCUUCGUCAAGUACUUGGCCAAGCGCAACCCGCUCUGCAAGGCCUUCUUCCAGCGCCCGCGGGACCACUGCAGCGAGGGCGACGUCACUUGGUACGAGAACAAGGCCAUCGGCAAGAACCUGCUGGGCACUCGCAUGCAGAUGCUCUCCAAGGCGGCCAAACUCUCCAAGACCUACACCAACCACUGCAUCGGCGCCGUCUCCAUCGCCACCCUCAACAGCAUCGCCGGCAUCGGCUCCAAGCUGCCUCCGGGCUCUGCUGCCGCCGCCGCCGCCGCCGCCGGUGCCGCAGACUCGGGACCACGGGGAUGUGGGAAAGGCAGCCAGCGCCCGGACUGGUCUCUCUUCUGGGGCAAGAUCAUGGGGAUUAA
rnacentral:lncRNA from 1 species